AAAAAGGGUGCACGCUACUUCAAUAGCGCGUUAUCAACGACAUAAUGUUGGAGAUAGCGGGGUAUGGCUAUCAAGACAUACCCUGUACGUAAUUUUUGUGGUUACGAGGCUAUUGGCUGCCAACUAGCACCGAUGCCUCU